UUGCACAGUGUACACCCAAUUACCUUGGCCUUGAAUCUGUGCUAGAGUAAAGCCUCUUCUUUUCCUCUCCAACGAAAGGGUACUGUGUCCUCUUAAAUGUGUUCAGAAAAUCAGCAUAUCA